rnacentral:rRNA from 1 species
GUUUUCGUAGGUGAACCUGCGAAAGGNUCAUUACCGGCACA